rnacentral:lncRNA from 1 species
CCAGCUUGUAAAAUUCCCACUUUGUAGGCCAGCUGGUACUGCCUCAGUAGUAUGCAGGCCAGGGAUUUCGCAUGGAUUCAGUCAGCUGACAAGACAAAGAAAGUGGUGCAUGGCCAUGGACCAGGAGGAAGAAAAGAUCAACUCUUGCCUGCCGAACUGCAGGAUCUUGUUACAAUUUGGGCAGAUUUGGGCAGAUUACGUUAUUCAAGGAGAGCUGAAACGAAAAGAGCAGUUUAUGCAGUUUCGUGCCUUUUUGCAGCCCUUUUCAGAAGCAUGACUUGUCAGCAAAGGAGCUAGGAAUUCCUCUCUCAGAAGCAAAGGUUAGAACUCGAGACAGCAGCAUCC